UACAGAGACUGCAAGCGUUAUUCGGAUUCACUGGGCGUAAAGGGUGCGCAGGCGGCCAAGUGUGUGAGGCGUGAAAGCCUGGACGCUUAACUCCAGAAUUGCACCUCAAACUACAUGGCUAGAGCAUUGGAGGAGGGUAGCAGAAUUCACGGUGUAGCAGUGAAAUGCGUAGAUAUCGUGAGGAAUACCAGAGGCGAAGGCGGCUACCUGGACAAUUGCUGACGCUCAGGCACGAAAGCGUGGGGAGCAAAAGGG
rnacentral:rRNA from 1 species